rnacentral:rRNA from 1 species
GCUCUGAGGCUGUUUGGUUUGUGUAUCUUUUGUUAUGGUACCUUUUGCAUCAUGAUUUUUGGGUAUUUUCUAUGGAUUUGGGGUCCCGAAAGGUAGCGAUUUGUUCUAUCUCUGUUGAGUUCUUAGGUUUGGUUGUGUUAGUCUUUUUAGAGGGUAGAAUAGAAGUGAUAUAUUAUUUCGUGCUAUUUGAUAUCUGGUUGGCGCCUAUAGUAUUUAUAAUUACGCUGUUUGCUUUGAGGUGAAUGGUGUGUUCAGAGGCUUUGUUUGUUGGGUUGAUUGUGAGGUUUAAGGUACCUCUGUUAUUGUGUCGUGUUAUAACGAUUUUGGAUAUUGGGUGGUCUUGAGUUUAGUUGGUGUUGUGUUAAUUGGUUGUUUGAGUUAUCAGGGAAUAAGUAGUUUAAUUAUUGCUGUGCUUUUGUCUCGAUUUUCAUUCGUCUGUUUAUCAAAAACAUUUCUAUCAUUAAGGUUUGAUAGUAGUACCUGCCCUAUGGCUUGUAAGGUUGAAUGGCCGCAGGAUUAAACUGUGUGAAGGUAGCGUAAUUAGUUGCCUUUUAAUUGGAGGAUUGUUUGAAUGGUUUGACGAAAUGGGGUUGAAAUGUGUGGUGUGUGUUGAAAUUGGAGUGCCUGUGUGGAUCCGGGUAUUAUUUAGUAAGACGGUAAGACCCCGAGAGCUUUAUAUUUAUUAUUUGCUUGGGGCAAGAGUAUGUGUUUUAUGUAUUUUUCGAUCCUGUGUAUUUGGAGAGUAGGGUGGAGUUACCUCGGGGAUAACUAAGUAAUGGGUGAUGUGAGUUCGUAUCUGUUCAUUCGUUUACUAUCUCGAUGUUGGCUUAGGGUGAGUUUAGUGGUGCAGUGGUCACUAUUCUAGGUCUGUUCGACUGAGUUCCCUAUGAGUUGAGUUAAGACCGGUGUAAGCCAGGUCGGAUCUUAUCUACUGUGGUCAUGAAUUAGUACGAAAGGAUUGUUCGUGGGUUAUGUU